GCUCGCCCCAUGUUGCCUGCCGCUGCUAGUCCGCCAGUGCCGCUGUGAGACCUCCAGACGUGGUGUCGUCCUGGGCCCUCCCUCUAUUCACUGCACUCGCAGACGCGGCCAGGAGAGUGCAAUAAAUAGAGGGAGGGCCCAGGACCUAUCGUUUGACUCCCGCCCGCCUGCCGCUGUGAGCGCCGCGAAGGAAGACCCCCGCCACGGACCUGCCGUCUGCCUCCCGGCCGCCGCUGUGAGUGAGCACCAGCCAGUGUGCGUAGACACGGAGGGCCCCGGUCCGGACCUGCCACCCGCCCGCUGACAAUGAUGGAGGGCCCGGGGUCGAAGCAGCAGCACUUCUCCACAGACCCGGAAGUAUAUAUAUUUUUUAAUUAGCAGACAGCAGCAGCACGUAGGAAGGAGCCCUGAAGGACUCACGAAGACCGGAGGAGGAGGAGCUGAGACAUGCGCACCAGCUGAAGAGACGCGAGGGAGCAAGCCGCAGGACCAGGAGAGGACCAACGCCAGGGAGGAGCUGCCUGUGCCUGUCACCAGAGCCGUCCGCGCUGAGUGGAGAAGACGCCACAGAAGAGGAGGAGUCCAGCCAGCAGGACCGGGGAAGGACAUCCAACCUUCAGUGGAGCGGGACCCUGCAGCAACGGAGGAGACUGACCAGCAACGGGAGCACCGGCAUCGCGGAGGACACCCGCUUGCCGGAGCAAGGACCCGCAGAAGACCCUGGCUGGCUUAAAGAAGAUGGUGCAGAACAGCGGGGAGGACGGCGCACUUCAGGAUCCUGCAGCAGGAGAGAAUAUCCCCCUACAGAGCGCAGCAGACCACACUGAAAAGGGUGCAUCCCCGGUGCGGUGCUCUGCAUCCCGGGUGGCGCCGAAGACGUGGAGUGUCGGAGGUGGCAGAAGCGCCGCAGCUUGGGGUUUUCAUGUGACUGCUUCAUUAACCAACGCAACAAUUGUGCCAGGUGAACAGGACAGAGAAAAGAUGACGCUUGCUGGUUCAGGACCUCUCGCGGCUUCUUCCACAGGAGCCUGUGGCAGAAGGAUGGACACCCCAAGGAAGACCCCACAGAUAAAGGAAAACACAAAUUGACGGUGACAACAAGCUUAAAGUG